AUUUUACUAAAGACUAUUCCACUAAAGUCAUCCAACGAUAACAAUGUCUGGAGUUAAGGGACAUCAGAAGCAAUGCCCAGAUCCUUGCCAUGACCCAUGCCCACCCCCACAGAAAUGCCAAGAUCCUUGCAAACAGGAUCCUUGCCCAAAACCUGUCCCACAAUGUCAAGAUCCCUGCAAGCCAGAACCGCAGCAGUGUCAACAGGACACCAAAUGUGUGAAGAAAUGCUAAGGUCAUGCUGAGAGAGGCACAAACUACGCCUCUGACUGCAAUCUGUACAACAUAGCUCUGUUCAAUAAAAUUAUUAUCCCUUUAAUAGCACAUAUGUUAAAUAGUCCUAACAUUAAUAAACAUUACAAAUGACUAAUGUAAAGAA